UACGUUGAUUGUAGGCCCCCUAGUGUUACCACAUGCCGAGAAGUCUUCAAAUGGAAACACAAGAUAAUAAAUGACAAGACGUAGGACACUUAAACUGGACCCCUGUUGUGUUCACUUAUCGCUACACUGACGGUGCGAAGCUAUAGAUGGAACGGCGGACCAGUUUAUAUGACACUGAUCUGUAAUUUUGUAUAAUAUGAUCACUUGGUAUUUCUCUCUAUGUGCGUGCAACGAAGAUGACAGACAGUGGACAUCAAAAGGCGGAAAGACAAGUUAAACAUAGACGGGAUAGUUUUCCAGUUUCAUUUAUGAAACAUUCAUCACAGUUCAAGAAAUUGGAGGUCACCAGACACUUCUAUCAAAAGGAUUUAUUUUUAAAGAAACACAAAAGUUUAGAAGGCAGACAAAAUGGCAGAAGUUACUACAACGACAGAGAACAUUAGUAAAGGAUACAUUUUGAGGAAAAUCUUUAGAGAUAGCUUUGGUUGAACGGAAAAAUGGAAACAUGUAUUAGGGAAUAUUACAUUUACAAAGAUGAUUGAUCGAAACGUUAAGAAGAGUUUGAAGAUGAAUAAUUCCAACUACAGAUCUGCAUGUCACUAAAAGAUCAGAUUACUAAACGAGUAGUACCAGAUGCAUUAUAACGAAGCUUCAAGUUGUCUCUCAGUUUGUCUGUAAUAAAUAAGACCGUUGAAAUUUUCUUUUAAAUUAUUUUAAUUUUGAAUCAUGUAAUACUUUUAAGAUUAUUUUUAUAUAGAACAAAAUUCAUAUUGAAUGUAGAAUAAAUUUAUUCUGUGCCUCAGCCUCACCAUACAGAUAUACUUUACUUCAAAAUAAAUUUAUUUUAUAUUUUAUUAUAAUCCGAAAUCGCAUUGAAACUAGAAUAAACUUAUUCUGUCACAGCCUCACCAUACAGAUUACUUUACUUCAAAAUAAAUUUAUUUUAUAUUUUAUUAUAAUCCGAAAUCGCAUUCAAAUAGAAUAAAUUUAUUCUGUGUCACAGCCUCACCAUACAAAUAACUUUACGUCAAAAUAAAUUUAUUUUAUAUUUUAUUAUAAUCCGAAAUCGCAUUCAAAUAGAAUUAAUUUAUUCUGUGUCACAGCCUAACCAUACAGAUAACUUCACUUCAAAAUAAAUUUAUUUUAUAUUUUAUUAUAAUCCAAAAUCGCAUUGAAUGUAGAAUAAAUGUAUUGUGUGUCUCAGCCUCACCAUACAGAUUAUUGGACUUUCAAAAUAAAUUUAUUUUAAAUAUUGUUAUAAUAAUAAAUGACAUUGAAUGUAGAAUAAAUUUAUUCUAUGAUUUUCUCGAACUCAUAAUAGAUAUUAUGACUCUAUAUAAUAAAUUUAUUUUAUAAAUGAUCAUAUACAGAAAGCACCAUACAUUUAGAAUAAAUUUAUUCUAUGUUGAAUCCUUUACAGAGAGUUGACUAAAAAUGGACAGCUAAGUGUAGAUUUCAGUAUAAAUUUAUUUUGAAAUGUAACAAAUAAAUACUAAUAUAACAGAAUUGUCUUUGUUUUUCAUGAUUUUUUCUCUAAUACAUGGGUUAUAGAAUAAAUUUAUUACGUUCUGGUCCGAAUUUGGCCUCUAAUUGCACUUGUCAGAAUUAAGAGUGAAAAAAGAGGAAAAUUGGUUUUUUCCUUUUUUAUUCUGCUCU